rnacentral:lncRNA from 1 species
AUGCCCGAGCAGGGGGGGCUGGGGGAGGCCGGGGAGGGGGCGGGCAGUGCCCGGAGCGCUGCGGGCUCUGCCCGGGGAGGGCAGGAGGCUGUGGCCGGGCGGGGAUGUGCGGGGACUGCCCGCGGAGGGAGGCAGGCGGGGAUGGAGGCAGCGCCCGGGAGAGGCUGCGGGGAAUGCCCGGCCCGCUGCGCUCCGCAGGGAGCCGCGAAGGGCACCGGCUGCUCCUCCCGGGGCUCUGGGGAGGUGCCGCUGGCUGAGGACCCUCCCAUGGCCCCCGCAGCGCGGCUCGGGCACCCCCUCGCUGCCCAGAACCCGGGGGGGGGCCCGGUGCCCUCAGCCUUUCCACAACCCCCCCCCACCCCCCCAUGGCAGGACCCUCGCCCGCCCCUCGCCCGCCGCCCCGCUCGCUUUGGGGCUCGGUGCUCCUGGGCCCCUCCGUGGGGGCCGGGGGCUUCUCCGAGCCCCCCUGUCCCGGGGGGUGCUCCCGCUUCGGUGUGGGGCGAGGCUGGAUGGAGGAAGGGGCGUUUUGGGAACAGAAGCUGCGUUUUUGGGACACCCCACAUUGAGCUGUUACCCGAUGGCGAUGGAAGGGGUGCCUGUGGGUCCAGGUGGGGGCCCAGCUCCCCCCCCAAAGACUCCACCAGCUUCUCUGUUCCUCCAAGUGCCCCCCAAGCCCUGCUCCUGCUCCCCAGGACUCUACCGGGACACCCCCGUGGGGCUUGGCAGAGCCCAAGCACCGGCCAUGGCACAGCCGGGCCCCCCCAGUCCUGCUGGGAGAAAAAUCACCUGGAAGGGCUCGUCUCACAGCCACAGCAUCCCUCUUCCUUCCCGGGGGAAAAUGGGACAGCAGGCACGGCCCCACAGCUGGGGGGGACACGGGGAGCCAGCAAAGCCUCGGUGCUGCUCUGCGCCACGGCUGGGCUGAGGUCGGUGCCAGGCAGAGGCAGGCAGAGCCCUUCCCCGCACCUCAACCCCGGGCUUUCAGAGAUGUGGGGCUUGUUCUCCUGCAAAGCUGCCUGGUGCUCACAUCUAGGGAAAUAUUCGGGUGUCCCUGCGGGCUGA